UACACUCCUGCGGGAGGCAGCAGUGGGGAAUUUUGGACAAUGGGCGAAAGCCUGAUCCAGCAAUGCCGCGUGAGUGAAGAAGGCCUUCGGGUUGUAAAGCUCUUUUGUCAGGGAAGAAACGGUGAAAGCUAAUAUCUUUUGCUAAUGACGGUACCUGACGAAUAAGCACCGGCUAACUACGUGCCAGCAGCCGCGGUAAUACGUAGGGUGCAAGCGUUAAUCGGAAUUACUGGGCGUAAAGCGUGCGCAGGCGGUUUUGUAAGUCUGAUGUGAAAUCCCCGGGCUCAACCUGGGAAUUGCAUUGGAGACUGCAAGGCUAGAAUCUGGCAGAGGGGGGUAGAAUUCCACGUGUAGCAGUGAAAUGCGUAGAUAUGUGGAGGAACACCGAUGGCGAAGGCAGCCCCCUGGGUCAAGAUUGACGCUCAGGCACGAAAGCGUGGGGAGCAAACAGGAUUAGAUACCCCGGUAGUCCCAUGAU
rnacentral:rRNA from 1 species